AGCCUGUGCUUGGGAUUCUGACAAUGAUACAUGUUUCUCAGGUCUGCUGACUUCAGCAAGGGCACCACUUGGAUUCUCUCUUGCAGAAGCUGUGGCUAGAAAUUUGACCACAAGGUCACAAGGAUUUAGCUUGCCCCUCGGCUACUAAAGUUUCACUGGCAGGAACCCAAUCUCCAGCGCAAUCUCUUCCACUCCUACCAGGCCAUGCACUUGUCUAUGGCUUAACUGUUGUUCCUCCACCACAAGCUCUGCCCAAUCCUCUACCUCCCAGAUACCAUCUUUAUGGACAAACCCAGAUGUCUGAAGCAGUCAAAGAUGAUGAUGAAGCAGUGUUUGUCCAGCACUGCAACCGUGGAGACCCUCCUCUCCACACCAGGAUGACGCAAUGAGCUCUCUGUAUAAGUUCUUUGUGAAGGAAGGCAUGGCUGGAGAGCCUGGAAGGGUGUUACAUAGCUGGAAGGGCUGAAAGUCUGGAGCCAAACCUUGAGGAUAAUGUUUGUGGGGAAAGAAAUUGAGACCCUAUGUCUAAAUCUCAAAAACUGCUUUUUUUUUAUAUUCAUCUUCCAUGACGGAAUAAAGUUUGUAAUCACAACUGAGCAAAAGCACUUUUAAGUAUUUAUUAAAACCCACUCCAGGUUAACAACCUGCGAGUGGCCAUUCUGCCAAUUCUAUUCUAAACCCAAAAGAAAUGAUGCGCUUAUUUGCCCUAGAGGUAAUAAAACCAGUUUUUCCCCUCCCUAGAAAUACACUUGGAUUAGCCCAACAGGCACAGCAGGAUCAGCAGUGACUUCUGAUGCUUAUCCUCCCAUUGUAGCAGCGGCCACCAGAGCCAGACCUUGGUUUGUGGCAGUGCUGCUGGGCUGGGUCCAAAGCCAUGGGGCUGCUCAGUGCAGGAUUACUAGUGAGCAUCGGGGUGAAAUGAGACAUCAGGCUUGGAAGGUGCUGGCAUCCCCUGUGCUCUAUUAAAUGUAUUAACAAGUAAUGGAAUAGUGAACUCCUAAGUAAAGUGGAGUAAUUAAAACAAUAAAAUUUUUAAGGUUGAGAUGAUGCCUUUUGUUGUGGGUGGAAGGCAAGGGGAAUAAAAGCUUUUCAUCUGCAUCAGCCCUGUGAAGGAGCCAAUUGGAAGGAGCUGGAGAAGCAGGACCUUGCUCACUGCAUGGAAACCAGAAGGGGCAGAGAGAGGUAAGUCCUUGGGCCAUGCUCAACCCUAUGCAAGAUUGUAAUGACCACCUACAUCUUCUUGUCUUCCAUUUCC